rnacentral:rRNA from 1 species
AGCGAACGUUAGCGGCGGGCCUAACACAUGCAAGUCGAGCGAGAAAGGGGCUUCGGCCCUGAGUAAAGCGGCGGACGGGUGAGUAACACGUAGGUAAUCUUCCCUUGAGCGGGGGACAACGAGCCGAAAGGCUCGCUAAUACCGCAUACGUUUCCAGAGGCCCCGGUCUCGGGAAGGAAAGCUAGGCCGCAAGGUCCGGCACUCGAGGCGGAGCCUGCGUCGCAUCAGCUAGUUGGUGGGGUAACGGCCUACCAAGGCGAAGACGCGUAGCUGGUCUGAGAGGAUGAUCAGCCACACUGGGACUGAGACACGGCCCAGACUCCUACGGGAGGCAGCAGUGGGGAAUAUUGGACAAUGGGCGCAAGCCUGAUCCAGCCACGCCGCGUGAGUGAUGAAGGCCUUCGGGUCGUAAAGCUCUGUGGGGAGGGACGAACCGCUGCAGGUUCAUAGCCUGCAGCAUGACGGUACCUCCUUAGCAAGCACCGGCUAACUUCGUGCCAGCCGCCGCGGUAAAAC